GACGAACGCUGGCGGCGUGCUUAACACAUGCAAGUCGAGCGGUAAGGCCCUUUCGGGGGUACGACGAGCGGCGAACGGGUGAGUAACACGUGGGUGACCUGCCUCUAGCUCUGGGAUAAGCCUGGGAAGCUGGGUCUAAUACCGGAUAUGACCUCGCGGUGCAUGUUGCGGGGUGGAAAGCCCUGUGCGGCUAGGGAUGGGCCCGCGGCCUAUCAGCUUGUUGGUGGGGUGANGGCCUACCAAGGCGACGACGGGUAGCCGGCCUGAGAGGGAGACCGGCCACACUGGGACUGAGACACGGCCCAGACUCCUACGGGAGGCAGCAGUGGGGAAUCUUGCGCAAUGGGCGAAAGCCUGACGCAGCGACGCCGCGUGAGGGAUGACGGCC
rnacentral:rRNA from 1 species